rnacentral:rRNA from 1 species
GGGCCCGCACAAGCAGUGGAGUAUGUGGUUUAAUUCGAAGCAACGCGAAGAACCUUACCAGGUCUUGACAUCCAACGAAUCCUGUGGAGACACGGGAGUGCCCUUCGGGGAACGGUGAGACAGGUGGUGCAUGGUUGUCGUCAGCUCGUGUCGUGAGAUGUUGGGUUAAGUCCCGCAACGAGCGCAACCCUUGUCAAUAGUUGCUACGCAAGAGCACUCUAUUGAGACUGCCGUUGACAAAACGGAGGAAGGUGGGGAUGACGUCAAAUCAUCAUGCCCCUUAUGACCUGGGCUACACACGUACUACAAUGGCCGCGAACAGAGGGAUGCAAGCGCGCGAGCGCAAGCGAACCCCAAAAAACGGUCUCAGUUCAGAUUGCAGGCUGCAACCCGCCUGCAUGAAGAUGGAAUUGCUAGUAAUCGCGGAUCAGCAUGCCGCGGUGAAUACGUUCCCGGGCCUUGUACACACCGCCCGUCACACCAUGAGAGCCGGUAACACCCGAAGUCGUUUGCGUAACCGUAAGGAGCGCGGCGCCGAAGGUGGGGUCGGUAAUUGGGGUGAAGUCGUAACAAGGUAGCCGUAUCGGAAGGUGCGGCU